rnacentral:tRNA from 1 species
CGGCGUGUCGCCUAGCGGCUAUGGCGCCUGGUUUGGGUCCAGGAGACCGGAGGUUCGAGUCCUCUCACGCCGACCA